rnacentral:misc_RNA from 1 species
GGAAACAACUUUACUAUUAUUUCAAGAAGUCUUUCAUAAGGUGAAAAUCACAAAAUAAUAGAUUGAAUUCAUGUAUUCCUUUAUUUUCCUCUCUAUUUGCUCUGUGGUUCACAACUAUGUUCAAAAUCAUACAUGAAUGACUGACCUAAUACAAUAAAUCAUUCUCUUGAUCAUAGGAAUGUACGAUUGUCACUAGCAGUCUUUGUUCUGCUGAUAAAUUCAUCAAUGGACAUGUUCCCUAACUCUCCCGCGAACCGAGAUCGAACAGUUAUAGUUUCUGUUUCUACCUCUUUGGGCCCAACUACAGCCAUCAAUGGGAUCUUUUGCUUCUCUGCAUUCCUAAUGAGUUUUGGCAGACGCUCGCCGCUGCAAACCUCGACCCGAAUACCACUAGCUUUUAGUUUCUUGACUACUUCAUUGCAGUACUGGAGCUGAGCAUCAGUAACUGGUAAAACUCGAGCUUGGAUGGGAGAAAGCCAAAGUGGAAAAUCACCAGCAUAAUUCUCUAUGAGAACACCAAAAAAGCGCUCCAAAGAUCCAAGAACUGCUCUAUGGAUCAUGAUAGGUCGCUUCCUCUCUUGAUUUGAAUCGACAUAUGUAAUGUCAAAGCGCUGGGGUAAAUUGAAAUCAACCUGUAUAGUUGAGCAUUGCCACUUUCUUCCAAGAGCAUCCUCAAUUUUCAGAUCAAUCUUUGGACCAUAGAAGGCCCCACCACCAUCAUCUAUUUGAUAGCUCCAACCUUUAUCUUCUAAAGCAUCCUUAAGUGCAAAUGUUGCUUUUUCCCAGAUCUCAUCAUCUCCAACAGCUUUUUCUGGCCUUGUUGAAAGGUUCACUUCAUACUUGUCAAAACCAAAUUGCUGUAAUAUUUCCUCUGUCAGAUCUAAAACACCCCUGAUUUCAUCUUUAAUUUGAUCUUCUAAACAGAAGAUGUGUGCAUCAUCCUGAGUAAAACCUCUUACACGGAAAAGCCCAUGUAAGCUUCCGG